rnacentral:rRNA from 1 species
AUUAAGUUUAAUUUAAUAUAGGAUCUGCUCAAUGAUUUAUUAAAUAGCUGCAGUAUUUUGACUGUGCAAAGGUAGCAUAAUAAUUAGUCUUUUAAUUGAGGACUUGUAUGAAAGAUUUGAUGAGAAAUAAACUUUAUUAUUUAUAUAAUUAAAAUUUUAUUUUUAAGUAAAAAAGCUUAAAUUAUUUAAAGGGACGAUAAGACCCUAUAAAACUUUAUAAAUAAUAAUUUUAAUUUUUUUGGAUUUAUAAAUAUUUUAGUUUUAUUAUUUAUUUUAUUGGGGUGAUAAAAAAAAUUUUUAAACUUUUUUUAAAAUUUUACAUUAUUUAAUGAAUAUUUGAAUUAAAAUUUUUAGUUAAAGGAAAAAGUUACUUUAGGGAUAACAGCGUAAUUAAUUUUUUAAGUUCAAAUUUGAAAAUUAGUUUGCGACCUCGAUGUUGAAUUAAGAUUAAUCUUAGGUGCAAAAUUUUAAGUAUUAGGUCUGUUCGACCUUUAAAUUCUUACGUGA